GUUGAAGUUCAGGUAACACUGAAUGGAGGACCGAACCGACUUACGUUGAAAAGUGAGCGGAUGAACUGAGGGUAGCGGAGAAAUUCCAAUCGAACUUGGAGAUAGCUGGUUCUCUCCGAAAUAGCUUUAGGGCUAGCCUCAAGUGAUGAUUAUUGGAGGUAGAGCACUGUUUGGACGAGGGGCCCCUCUCGGGUUACCGAAUUCAGACAAACUCCGAAUGCCAAAUAAUUUAACUUGGGAGUCAGAAUGUGGGUGAUAAGGUCCAUAUUCGAAAGGGAAACAGCCCAGACCACCAGCUAAGGUCCCAAAAUAUAUGUUAAGUGGAAAAGGAUGUGGCGUUGCCCAGACAACUAGGAUGUUGGCUUAGAAGCAGCCAUCAUUUAAAGAGUGCGUAAUAGCUCACUAGUCGAGUGACACUGCGCCGAAAAUGUACCGGGGCUAAACAUAUUACCGAAGCUGUGGAUUGUCCUUUGGACAAUGGUAGGAGAGCGUUCUAAGGGCGUUGAAGCAUGAUCGCAAGGACAUGUGGAGCGCUUAGAAGUGAGAAUGCCGGUGUGAGUAGCGAAAGACGGGUGAGAAUCCCGUCCACCGAUUGACUAAGGUUUCCAGAGGAAGGCUCGUCCGCUCUGGGUUAGUCGGGUCCUAAGCUGAGGCCGACAGGCGUAGGCGAUGGAUAACAGG
rnacentral:rRNA from 1 species